UGCCCGAUCGUCUAAUGGCAGGACUUCAGAUUUUGGUUCUGACUAUGUUGGUUCGAAUCCAGCUCGGGCAACAA
rnacentral:tRNA from 2 species